GACGAACGCUGGCGGCGUGCCUCAUACAUGCAAGUCGAACGAGUGGCGGACGGGUGAGUAACACGUGGGUAACCUCCCCACAGAGGGGGAUAACCCUUGGAAACAGGUGCUAAUACCGCAUACUGAUGGAUGGACCCGCGGUUCAUUAGCUAGUAGGUGGGGUAACGGCUCACCUAGGCGACGAUCUCUAGCGGGUCUGAGAGGAUGAUCAGCCACACUGGGACUGAGACACGGCCCAGACUCCUACGGGAGGCAGCAGUGGGGAAUAUUGCACAAUGGGCGCAAGCCUGAUGCAGCCAUGCCGCGUGUAUGAAGAAGGCCUUAGGGUUGUAAAGUACUUUCAGCGGGGAGGCGUUACCCGCAGAAGAAGCACCGGCUAACUCCGUGCCAGCCGCCGCGGUAAUAC
rnacentral:rRNA from 1 species